GCGCCCUUAGCUCAACGGAUAGAGCUCCUGACUUCGGAUCAGGCGGCUGGGAGUUCGAAUCUCUCAGGGCGCGCCA
rnacentral:tRNA from 1 species